rnacentral:rRNA from 1 species
GACGUAGGGCGCGAGCGUUGUCCGGAUUUAUUGGGCGUAAAGAGCUCGUAGGCGGCCACUCAAGUCGAAUGUGAAACCUCGAGGCUUAACCUCGAGCCUGCAUUCGAUACUGGGUGGCUAGAGUCUGGUAGGGGGAUCUGGAAUUCCUGGUGUAGCGGUGGAAUGCGCAGAUAUCAGGAGGAACACCGGUGGCGAAGGCGGGAUCCUGGGCCAGUACUGACGCUGAGGAGCGAAAGCGUGGGGAGCAAACAGG